CCAAAGAAUAAUAUUUAAUAGAAAAUGGAUGUGUGUCUAUUCAGUGAUAUGGGUUCUCAUUUUAUAUAAUUUUCAAAUCGUAAAUGGCAUCAGAUGUAUCUUUGUACCUAUUAGUUCAUAUGGACAUCGUAUGAGAUAUUUAAGUGCUAGGUCAUGCAUUUCUUGGUUGCUGUCUGCUGAGAACAAAAGGCCUGUCAUAGAAGAAUCUAGAUUUUCAAUUAAUUGUUGAAUUCUGUAAUCUCUGCAAUUACUUAUUUUGAUUCCUGGCACUCCAUUGUAGCAUGGUUCUUCUAUGGUAAUUAAUUCCAUUUUCACUAAUACAAGAACGAGAAUCCUUAUAUAUACUCUUAGGACACAUUUGGUUCAAUCCGAAAUUGGAAAUGUGAUGCAGUUCUUAGAAUUGAUCCCAUUGGUUUGGUUUAAAAAAUAAUCUGCAAUUUUUGUUUUAUAUGUAUUUUAUAUUUGAAUAAUUUAAGUUUAUAUUGCAAUGAUAUGUAGAGUUCAGAC
rnacentral:lncRNA from 1 species